GAGCGGGAUCCAUCCAGUGGCAACACUGGGGAAGAUCUAGCGGCGAACGGGUGAGUAACACGUGAGAAACUUGCCCCGGAGUACGGGAUAACCCGAGGAAACUCGAGCUAAUACCGUAUGCCCUCUUCUGAUCGCAUGGUCGGAUGAGGAAAGAUUUAUCGCUCCGGGAGAGUCUCGCGGCCUAUCAGCUAGUUGGCGGGGUAACGGCCCACCAAGGCAUCGACGGGUAGCUGGUCUGAGAGGACGAUCAGCCACACUGGGACUGAGACACGGCCCAGACUCCUACGGGAGGCAGCAGUGGGGAAUCUUGCGCAAUGGGCGAAAGCCUGACGCAGCAACGCCGCGUGCGGGAUGAAGGCCUUCGGGUUGUAAACCGCUUUCAGCAGGGAAGAAAUUGACGGUACCUGCAGAAGAAGCCCCGGCCAACUACGUGCCAGCAGCCGCGGUAACACGUAGGGGGCGAGCGUUGUCCGGAUUUAUUGGGCGUAAAGAGCUCGUAGGCGGCUCACUAAGUCGGGUGUGAAACCUCCAGGCUCAACCUGGAGACGCCACCUGAUACUGGUGUGGCUAGAGUCCGGUAGGGGAGUGUGGAACUCCUGGUG
rnacentral:rRNA from 1 species